rnacentral:rRNA from 1 species
UACGUAGGUGGCGAGCGUUGUCCGGAUUUACUGGGCGUAAGAGCGCGCAGGCGGUCGUACAAGUCGCGUGUGAAAGCCCCCGGCUCAACUGGGGAGGGUCACGCGAUACUGUUCGACUCGAAGGCAGGAGAGGGAAGUGGAAUUCCCGGUGUAGUGGUGAAAUGCGUAGAUAUCGGGAGGAACACCAGUGGCGAAGGCGACUCCCUGGCCUGUUCUUGACGCUGAGGCGCGAAAGCUAGGGUAGCAAACGGGGU